rnacentral:rRNA from 1 species
UUGGAGGGCAAGUCUGGUGCCAGCAGCCGCGGUAAUUCCAGCUCCAAUAGCGUAUAUUAAAGUUGUUGCAGUUAAAAAGCUCGUAGUUGAAUUUCGGGAUCAAUGUUUCGGUCAUGCCGUUGGUAUGUACUGAUAUUAUUGGUUUCUCACCUUCUAAAGAACCGUAAUGCCAUUAAUUUGGUGUCACGGGGAAUUAGGACUGUUACCUUGAAAAAAUUAGAGUGUUUAAAGCAGGCUCACGUUUGAAUACAUUAGCAUGGAAUAAUGAAAUAGGACAUCCGAUUCUAUUUUGUUGGUUUCUAGGAUCGAUGUAAUGAUUAAUAGGGAUAGUUGGGGGCAUUAGUAUUCAAUUGUCAGAGGUGAAGUUCUUGGAUUUAUUGAAGACUAACUACUGCGAAAGCAUUUGCCAAGGAUGUUUUCAUUAAUCAAGAACGAAAGUUAGGGGAUCGAAGACGAUCAGAUACCGUCGUAGUCUUAACCAUAAACUAUGCCGACUAGGGAUCGGAUGAUGUUAAUUUUUUAAUGACUCAUUCGGCACCUUACGGGAAACCAAAG